CAGCCGCCGCGGGAAAACGGAGGGUGCAAGCGUUAAUCGGAAUUACUGGGCGUAAAGCGCACGCAGGCGGUCUGACAAGUCAGAUGUGAAAUCCCCGGGCUUAACCGGGGAACUGCAUUUGAAACUGUCAGGCUGGAGUCUUGUAGAGGGGGGUGGAAUUCCAGGUGUAGCGGUGAAAUGCGUAGAGAUCUGGAGGAAUACCGGUGGCGAAGGCGGCCCCCUGGACAAAGACUGACGCUCAGGUGCGAAAGCGUGGGGAGCAAACAGGAUUAGAUACCCCUGUAGUCCCUGUCUCUUAUAC
rnacentral:rRNA from 1 species